GGAGUUCAGUGACUGCUAUUGAACCACCAAAAGUCCAUUAUGAAACUGUAUUGCCUGUCAGGGCACCCAACCUUACCAUGCAAUGUGCUCAAAUUCAAAUCAACCACCAUUAUGUUGGACUGCGGACUGGACAUGACUUCUACCCUCAAUUUCCUUCCUUUGCCACUUGUUCAAAGUCCCAGGUUGUCCAAUCUUCCUGGCUGGUCCCUGAAGGAUGGAAAUGCUUUCUUGGACAAGGAGCUAAAGGAGUGCUCGGGUCAUGUAUUUGUGGAUUCUGUGCCGGAAUUCUGUUUACCAGAGACGGAGCUAAUAGAUCUGUCUACAGUAGAUGUGAUUCUCAUCUCUAACUAUCACUGUAUGAUGGCGCUGCCAUACAUCACCGAGCACACCGGCUUCACAGGCACAGUGUAUGCCACGGAACCCACUGUCCAGAUCGGCAGGCUUCUCAUGGAAGAGCUGGUGAAUUUCAUUGAAAGAGUGCCAAAGGCUCAGUCUGCCUCCUUGUGGAAGAAUAAGGACAUUCAGAGGCUGUUACCUUCUCCUCUCAAGGAUGCAGUGGAAGUCUCAACCUGGAGAAGAUGCUAUACAAUGCAAGAGGUGAACUCUGCCCUUAGUAAAAUCCAGCUGGUGGGAUAUUCUCAGAAAAUUGAGCUUUUUGGUGCGGUCCAGGUGACUCCUCUGAGCUCUGGCUAUGCCCUUGGGAGCUCCAACUGGAUCAUCCAGUCUCAUUACGAGAAAGUGUCUUAUGUCUCUGGAUCCUCCUUGCUUACCACACACCCCCAGCCCAUGGACCAAGCUUCUCUCAAAAACAGCGAUGUUCUUGUUCUGACAGGGCUUACCCAGAUCCCCACUGCAAACCCAGAUGGAAUGGUGGGAGAGUUCUGCAGCAACCUAGCUCUGACAGUCCGGAAUGGAGGAAACGUGUUGGUUCCCUGCUACCCUUCUGGAGUGAUCUAUGACCUCCUGGAGUGCCUGUAUCAGUACAUCGACUCAGCCGGGCUCUCUAGCGUCCCCCUCUACUUCAUCUCCCCUGUGGCCAACAGUUCACUGGAGUUUUCCCAGAUCUUUGCUGAGUGGUAUGUCAGUGGUUUUUUUCUAUGAAUUUUAUUUGAUUCAGGACAUUCAAGCAGUAAGAAUAAAAAUAAUCG
rnacentral:sRNA from 1 species